rnacentral:rRNA from 1 species
UACAGAGGUCUCAAGCGUUGUUCGGAUUCAUUGGGCGUAAAGGGUGCGUAGGCGGCGCGGUAAGUCGGGUGUGAAAUUUCGGAGCUUAACUCCGAAACUGCAUUCGAUACUGCCGUGCUUGAGGACUGGAGAGGAGACUGGAAUUUACGGUGUAGCAGUGAAAUGCGUAGAGAUCGUAAGGAAGACCAGUGGCGAAGGCGGGUCUCUGGACAGUUCCUGACGCUGAGGCGCGAAAGCGUGGGGAGCAAACAGG